GACUGCAUCAACAUGGUGCAUGAAAUGGCAUCGAGUAUGGAGGCAUGCAGUUUGUUAUGUUGUGUUGUAGCUCAUCUGUGAGGCAUAUCAUCUGAUGAGGGAUGCACUUGGGAUGAGUGGCGUGUUUGGGGAAUGGAGCAAAAGCGAGUGCGACUCUUUUCUUAUUGAAAUCACACAGAACGUUUUGGCUUACAGAGACAUGCACUGAUAUGGGACACGACUAGUUAGCAAAAUCAGAGAUGCAGCAUCUAGGACAAGUUGGUUGUUGGUCAAAUGACAACUUGGUUGCUGUCAUUGAUGUGCAGUUUGGUUGUGGUGAUCAUUACUGAUGGCAUGCUGGGAUGGUUAUGUUACUAGACAUUGUACGUAACAAGUGAAGAAAUGUGACAGAUACAUACACAGACACAUGCUUCCAUCAUCACAACUGAAAU